GCCCUGUGAUGGAUGCCAUCUUGGAAGCAUCACAGAUCAGCACAUACCAGAGACUGGAGCGACCAGCUGCUCUAGUUUCACAGAGCGCCUCAUCAGUGCAGACUUCAGCCAUCACCACAAACCUACAAAUGAUGACCUGCAGAUGGAUGCGGUGGAGUUUUCCACGAUUCUUUAUCUGUUGAUGAAUCACAACCAAGACCUGAUAAACUCUAACUUGGAGAAUAAAAUUGUCAAAAAUGCUUGCGUGAGAACCAACAGUAAAGGACUGGACAUAAAAUUCUAGACUCCACCCUCUGCAUUAAAGUUAUGACAUUAUCAGCUGGAGAAUAGUCACGAAUCCUAGAAAGGUGUUCCCUCGAUGGAAAACCUUGGAUCCAAAAUGAAGUUAUUGGACCACAAUUCUUCCAACUCACCUGCCUUGAAGUCAUGUUAAUGAUUCAAAGCUCUUCAAACUUUGAAGGUUAUUAUUUAAAUCACGUCAGAAAGUGAGGACUGCUGUUGAACCUUAUUUUCCAAGGUGCCUUCAGAGCAGAUGGAUU